rnacentral:rRNA from 1 species
UACCAGCACCCCGAGUGGUCGGGACGAUUAUUGGGCCUAAAGCAUCCGUAGCCGGUCCUACAAGUCUUCCGUUAAAUCCACCUGCUCAACAGAGUGGGCUGACGGAAGAUACUAUAGGGCUAGGAGGCGGGAGAGGCAAGCGGUACUCGAGUGGGUAGGGGUAAAAUCCUCUGAUCCAUUGAAGACCACCAGUGGCGAAGGCGGCUUGCCAGAACGCGCUCGACGGUGGAGG